AGUCUUCCAGCGCUUCCUACAGGCUGUGUUCUUACAUUGACUGUCCAUAAAAAAGAAGGCGGAAUAAAUCCACCCCAUAUAUUCUUCAGCCCUGGUCCUUUGCCUGAUCUAUAUUGUGAUUGAGAAAACAUGG